AGAGUUUGAUCCUGGCUCAGGACGAACGCUGGCGGCGUGCUUAACACAUGCAAGUCGAACGGAAAGGCCCUUCGGGGUACUCGAGUGGCGAACGGGUGAGUAACACGUGGGUGAUCUGCCCUGCACUUUGGGAUAAGCCUGGGAAACUGGGUCUAAUACCGAAUAUGACCACGCUCUUCAUGGGGUGUGGUGGAAAGCUUUUGCGGUGUGGGAUGGGCCCGCGGCCUAUCAGCUUGUUGGGGGGGUAAUGGCCUACCAAGGCGACGACGGGUAGCCGGCCUGAGAGGGUGACCGGCCACACUGGGACUGAGAUACGGCCCAGACUCCUACGGGAGGCAGCAGUGGGGAAUAUUGCACAAUGGGCGCAAGCCUGAUGCAGCGACGCCGCGUGAGGGAUGACGGCCUUCGGGUUGUAAACCUCCUUCACCAGGGACGAAGCGCAAGUGACGGUACCUGGAGAAGAAGCACCGGCCAACUACGUGCCAGCAGCCGCGGUAAUACGUAGGGUGCGAGCGUUGUCCGGAAUUACUGGGCGUAAAGAGCUCGUAGGUGGUUUGUCGCGUUGUUCGUGAAAACUCACAGCUUAACUGUGGGCGUGCGGGCGAUACGGGCAGACUAGAGUACUGCAGGGGAGACUGGAAUUCCUGGUGUAGCGGUGGAAUGCGCAGAUAUCAGGAGGAACACCGGUGGCGAAGGCGGGUCUCUGGGCAGUAACUGACGCUGAGGAGCGAAAGCGUGGGGAGCGAACAAGAUUAGAUACCCUGGUAGUCCACGCCGUAAACGGGGGGUACUAGGUGUGGGUUCCUUCCUUGGGAUCCGUGCCGUAGCUAACGCAUUAAGUGCCCCGCCUGGGGAGUGCGGCCGCAAGGCUAAAACUCAAAGGAAUAGACGGGGGCCCGCACAAGCGGCGGAGCAUGUGGAUUAAUUCGAUGCAACGCGAAGAACCUUACCUGGGUUUGACAUGCACAGGACGCUGGUAGAGAUAUCAGUUCCCUUGUGGCCUGUGUGCAGGUGGUGCAUGGCUGUCGUCAGCUCGUGUCGUGAGAUGUUAGGUUAAGUCCCGCAACGAGCGCAACCCCUAUCUUAUGUUGCCAGCGCGUUAUGGCGGGGACUCGUAAGAGACUGCCGGGGUCAACUCGGAGGAAGGUGGGGAGGACGUCAAGUCAUCAUGCCCCUUAUGUCCAGGGCUUCACACAUGCUACAAUGGCCGGUACAAAGGGCUGCGAAUCCGCGAGGUGGAGCGAAUCCCUUGAAAGCCGGUCUCAGUUCGGAUCGGGGUGUGCAACUCGACCCCGCGAAGUUG
rnacentral:rRNA from 1 species